AGGACGAACGCUGGCGGCGUGCUUAACACAUGCAAGUCGAGCGGAAAGGCCCUUCGGGGUACUCGAGCGGCGAACGGGUGAGUAACACGUGAGCAACCUGCCCUUAGCUCCGGGAUAGCUCCGGGAAACCGGAAUUAAUACCGGAUACGACCACGGCUGACAUCUACCGUGGUGGAAAGGAUUCCGGCUAAGGAUGGGCUCGCGGCCUAUCAGCUAGUUGGUGGAGUAACGGCCCACCAAGGCGACGACGGGUAGCCGGCCUGAGAGGGCGACCGGCCACGACUGGGACUGAGACACGGCCCAGACUCCUACGGGAGGCAGCAGUGGGGAAUAUUGCGCAAUGGGCGAAAGCCUGACGCAGCGACGCCGCGUGGGGAUGAAGGCCUUCGGGUUGUAAACCCCGUUUCAGCAGGGACGAAGCGAAAGCGACGGUACCUGCAGAAGAAGCGCCGGCUAACUACGUGCCAGCAGCCGC
rnacentral:rRNA from 1 species